AGUGGCGAACUGGUGAGUAACACGUGGGUAACCCCUCCUUGAAGUAGGGGAUAACACUUGGAAACAGGUGCUAAUACCGUAUAACAACCAAAACCACCUGGUUUUGGUUUAAAAGAUGGCUUCGGCUAUCACUUUAGGAUGGACCCGCGGCGUAUUAGCUUGUUGGUAAGGUAACGGCCUACCAAGGCAAUGAUACGUAGCCGACCUGAGGGGGUAAUCGGCCACAUUGGGACUGAGACACGGCCCAAACUCCUACGGGAGGCAGCAGUAGGGAAUCUUCCACAAUGGACGAAAGUCUGAUGGAGCAACGCCGCGUGAGUGAUGAAGGGUUUCGGCUCGUAAAACUCUGUUGUUGGAGAAGAACAGGUGUGAGAGUAACUGUUCACAUCUUGACGGUAUCCAACCAGAAAGCCACGGCUAACUACGUGCCAGCAGCCGCGGUAAUACGUAGGUGGCAAGCGUUGUCCGGAUUUAUUGGGCGUAAAGCGAGCGCAGGCGGUUUCUUAGGUCUGAUGUGAAAGCCUUCGGCUUAACCGGGGAAGUGCAUCGGAAACCAGGAGACUUGAGUGCAGAAGAGGACAGUGGAACUCUAUGUGUAG
rnacentral:rRNA from 1 species